CACCCCUCCUCCUAUUGCAGAAAAGAGAGGAUGGGGAGAGACAGGUCUGUGAGUCUCAGAGCAGCAGGAAUGAGACCUAUCUCCCAGGCACCCUGCUGUGACCAUGGGAAAAACUGUAGGAAGGAAUGAAUGGAUACAUAAAUUGUCUAGGCAGCAGAUGAGACCAAAGGUAUAUUUCAGAGACAUCUGGGACAAUAAGUUGGAAAAUCAGGCACAGAAACUAACACAAAUGACCUUGUUUCUAAAGCAGUAAGCGGCUCUUGGCAACCCAGG